CCUACGGGAGGCAGCAGUGGGGAAUAUUGCACAAUGGGGGAAACCCUGAUGCAGCGACGCCGCGUGAGUGAAGAAGUAUUUCGGUAUGUAAAGCUCUAUCAGCAGGGAAGAAAAUGACGGUACCUGACUAAGAAGCCCCGGCUAACUACGUUCCAGCAGCCGCGGUAAUACGUAGGGGGCAAGCGUUAUCCGGAUUUACUGGGUGUAAAGGGAGUGUAGACGGCAGCACAAGUCUGGAGUGAAAGGCCGGGGCUUAACCCCGGAACUGCUUUGGAAACUGUGCAGCUGGAGUGUAGGAGAGGUAAGUGGAAUUCCUGGUGUAGCGGUGAAAUGCGUAGAUAUUAGGAGGAACACCAGUGGCGAAGGCGGCUUACUGGACUGUAACUGACGUUGAGGCUCGAAAGCGUGGGGAGCAAACAGGAUUAGAUACCCCUGUAGUC
rnacentral:rRNA from 1 species